CCUACGGGGGGCAGCAGUGAGGAAUAUUGGUCAAUGGGCGCGAGCCUGAACCAGCCAAGUCGCGUGAGGGAAGACGGUCCUAUGGAUUGUCAACCUCUUUUGUCGGGGAGCAAAAGACGCCACGCGUGGCGUUCCGAGAGUACCCGAAGAAAAAGCAUCGGCUAACUCCGUGCCAGCAGCCGCGGUAAUACGGAGGAUGCGAGCGUUAUCCGGAUUUAUUGGGUUUAAAGGGUGCGCAGGCGGAAGAUCAAGUCAGCGGUAAAAUUGAGAGGCUCAACCUCUUCGAGCCGUUGAAACUGGUUUUCUUGAGUGAGUGAGAAGUAUGCGGAAUGCGUGGUGUAGCGGUGAAAUGCAUAGAUAUCACGCAGAACUCCGAUUGCGAAGGCAGCAUACCGGCGCUCAACUGACGCUCAUGCACGAAAGUGUGGGUAGCGAACAGGAUUAGAUACCCUGGUAGUC
rnacentral:rRNA from 1 species